GAUGAACGCUGGCGGCGUGCCUAAUACAUGCAAGUCGAGCGAACAGAUAAGGAGCUUGCUCCUUUGACGUUAGCGGCGGACGGGUGAGUAACACGUGGGUAACCUACCUAUAAGACUGGGAUAACUUCGGGAAACCGGUGCUAAUACCGGAUAACAUUUGGAACCGCAUGGUUCUAAAGUGAAAGAUGGUUUUGCUAUCUCUUAUAGAUGGACACGCGCCGUAUUAACUUGUUGGUCAGGUACCGGCUUACCAAGGCGACGAUACGUAGCCGACCUGAGAGGGUGAUCGGCCACACUGGAACUGAGACACGGUCCAGACUCCUACGGGAGGCAGCAGUAGGGAAUCUUCCGCAAUGGGCGAAAGCCUGACGGAGCAACGCCGCGUGAGUGAUGAAGGGUUUCGGCUCGUAAAACUCUGUUAUUAGGGAAGAACAAAUGUGUAAGUAACUGUGCACGUCUUGACGGUACCUAAUCAGAAAGCCACGGCUAACUACGUGCCAGCAGCCGCAGUAA
rnacentral:rRNA from 1 species